AGUGAAGUUGCAGUGUCAUCCUGGUCAGUUGACUUAAGAGCCCCAGCGUUUAGCCACAUGGCAGAAUGUUUUCCUUUUCCAGUGGGCCACGGAUUCAUUUUUCUCUUUCACUCGUCUGUGCAGGCCAUCAAACCUUCUCUUAUGUUGUUAUGAAGUUUUUAAUAUAUGGAUGUAUCAUCUCCCUAAGAUUAUUGUAGGCUUCUUGAACAUGAAGCCAUGUCCUCACUUUCUUGAUAUCCCCUGUGGCACCCACCAAGUAGCUACUUGUAUUUGUCUGCACAGGUAGAUAGGAAACCUGCAGAGGUUCAGUGGAGCAGAAUAAGUUGUGUUCUCCAAUUUAUAGAUACAUUGGUUGAACUUGGACAAUUCUUUUGGAACUUAGACUGCAUUUUCUCAAUGAAAAUAUAUUAUAAAUGGCUUUCUGAAGCAGAUGCACCUCUUCAGUCCUGUUUCCAUUAGGACUAUUUUCUAUUCCAAAAUCUACUAGGAAAUCUAGAGCCCCCAAAUACCUGGCUGGGUUCCAGGGCUAUGGCUCAAUUUGAGAUGAGUAAACCAGACAGAAGGACCCUGCUCAGGGCUUGCUGCAGCUGCCAACAAUCUACCCUUGCCAAGAGAGUGGGAAAGGCUGCCUGAUCAUCUCCGGAGAGAGCAUCUCUGCCAUCAGAAAGUCGACCAUGGCACAGGCUGGGGUGCAAUCUGACCACCAUUAGCAGCUCUCCUUCUUCAGAAGACACCUCUCUGGAUCUCAGUGUCCUCAUUUGUGGAAUAAGACCUCUGGGCUAGACACUUUCCAAGGAAGUUACAGCAUAUGCAGAGAUGGCUGAAGAAAUGAAGCAUCGCCAUGGUGUAUAUUCAGACAAGGUAACAGAGAGCAGGUAUGUUUGUGUUACAAUUUAAAAUAUCCUAAAACACCAAGUAGAAGUUAACAUUACCAAUAAUGGAACAUACUGCCAUCAAGAGUGAUGUGAGGAGCAAUGUGAUCUCCUCAAAAAGACAGAGCAUCACUUAUCUGCAAAAAAUGCAUCUACUGAAUCUAAUCACGGAAAAGCAUCAAAUAAACCCACCUUGUAGGGCAUUUUAAGAAACAACCAACCUGUACCCUUAAAACAUAUCAAUGACAUGAAAGACAAUGAAAGCUGAGGCACUGGUCCAGGUUAAGGAACCCAAAGAGAUGCCACAGCUAAAGGCAGUGUGUGACUGGAUCUCAAACCAGAAAAAUGUAAAGGACCUUGCUGGAUCAACUGGUGAAAUUCAAAUACAGACUGUGUCUUAGUAGCAUGGCACCACUGUCACCUUUCCUGAGUUUGAUCCUUGUUCUGUGGUUCUGUAAGACAAUGUCUUUGUUCUUAGGAGAUCAUUUCUAAAGUAUUUAGGGGUAAAGGGUAUGAUGUCUCAAGCUGUUCGGCAAAGAGAAUAUAACCAUGUGCAUGGAUAUGUAUAUAUAUAGGUAGAGAGAAAUGGGUAAAACAAAUGUAGCAAAAUGUUAGGAUCGGUGGAUAUUAAGAAUGUACGGGAAAUGUGUAUCAACUACACUUCCAUUUGUAAAAAGAAUGUAGGGGAGCCUUUGUACACCAUUCUUGCAACUUUUUUGUAAGGUUUAAGUCAUUUAAAAACAUAAAGUUAAAAAUCAAAUAAUCUAAAAUUGUUCUAAAACGUUAAAAAGUUUAUUUUUAAGAAAUCAAGUAAUACUUAGAAAUGAAAGUCCCAUCAGAAGUUUUCUGAUGUUCUAGAACUAAAAACAAGCACACACUUUGAAAACUCUGGUAUGGAGUAUCUGUUAGCUCUGGCUGCCAUAGAUGUGCUAAGAGAUUAUAAAUAAUAAACAGAUCAUUCCAAAAACAAAAAUAAUUUGUUACCUUAGUUGUCAAAUAUGGCCAUAUGCCCGACAGAUGGUUCCUCUUGUUCUCUGCCACAAAUUCCCUUCCCUGUUGUCCGACCCGUCAAUCCUACGGCCUUGCUAACUUCUGCUCACUCCUUAGUGCUCAGCCUCAGUAUCACUUCCUCCAAGCAGGCUCCCAAGAUCUCCUAUGUCAGGGUUGGCCUUUCCUCCUCUGUGCCCCCAGAGCACGCUGGAAGUGUCAUCUCUGUCGCAGUACUGAAUAGACUUGAGUCUAUUGCCCAUCUAUCUGCUCGGACUGUGAGGGCCUUGAGGACUGGAAGCCAAGUCUGUUCUGUUCUUGGAGGUAACUCUGGCACCUAGUUAGCAUAGUGCUAGGAUUUGAAGCUCUUAAUAAACACUUGUUUGAUAAAUGAAUAUGGAAUGCUCUGUGAAUAUAUGGGUUGUGUAAUGUGAGGUUGUAACUCCAGCCCCCUUGGUAGAUUUUCAGCACUAAAAUCAGUCUUGGUGCGGAUUUAUCUCAUUCUUAUUCUCCUGCUCCUGGAAACAGGACUUGGGGCUGUGUUCACUUCUCUUGUGGGGCCAGGCACACACACUGCAUGUUCAUACUGAAGAAAAGCUGUUGUUCUGAAAACUCUAUGGUUGUCAACUGUUGCAGAGAAUCUGCUCUGGGUUAUCUGUGAAAUUCAACUCUGAAUUUCCCUCAGCAAAUAUUUGCACAAGUUCUGCCUU